rnacentral:rRNA from 1 species
GUGCCAGCCGCCGCGGUAAUACGGAGGGUGCAAGCGUUAAUCGGAAUUACUGGGCGUAAAGCGCACGCAGGCGGUCUGACAAGUCGGAUGUGAAAUCCCCGGGCUCAACCCGGGAACUGCAUUCGAAACUGUCAGGCUGGAGUCUUGUAGAGGGGGUAGAAUUCCAGGUGUAGCGGUGAAAUGCGUAGAGAUCUGGAGGAAUACCGGUGGCGAAGGCGGCCCCCUGGACAAAGACUGACGCUCAGGUGCGAAAGCGUGGGAGCAAACAGGAUUAGAUACCCUGGUAGUCCACGCCGUAAACGAUGUCUAUUUGGAGGUUGUGCCCUUGAGGCGUGCUUCCGGAGCUAACGCGUUAAUAGACCGCUGGGAGUACGCCGCAAGG